GACGAGCGCUGGCGGCGUGGAUUAGGCAUGCAAGUCGAACGGUAUCAUCCUUUCGGGGAUGAGAGAGUGGCGAACGGGUGAGUAACACGUAGGUGAUCUACCCUCAAGACGGGGACAACCCAGGGAAACUUGGGCUAAUACCGGAUGUGAGCUAUCGUGAGAUAGUUUGAAAGGUGGCUUCGGCUGCCGCUUGAGGAUGAGCCUGCGUCCUAUUAGCUAGUUGGUGAGGUAACGGCUCACCGAGGCAGUGAUAGGUAGGCGGCCUUAACGGGUGGUCGCCCACACUGGGAUUGAGAUACGGCCCAGACUCCUACGGGAGGCAGCAGUCGAGAAUAGUCUACAAUGGUCGAAAGACUGAUAGUGCGACGCCGCGUGAACGAAGAAGCCCUUCGGGUGUAAAGUUCUUUUAUAUGUGAGCAGUGACAUCUAUAUUAAUAGUAUGGGUGUAGAGAUAUUAGCAUAUGAAUAAGCAACGGCUAACUCCGUG
rnacentral:rRNA from 1 species